GGAUGUGAGGGCAAUCUGGAUGUGACAUCUGUCACCCCAUUGAUAGCCAGGGUUGAUUCAGGUGAUCUGGUUGGCUAGGUAGGGGUCUCCUUCUUCCCUCACCACUCCAGGUGCACCAUUCCCAAAGCUCUGUGCUGGGUGGAAAAGGACAACUCUUCCCCAUAGAGGAGGACCAUUUCCUCAGUCGAGGGUAUAUGAGUAGCUGCGUUCCCCUGCUAGAAAGCAGUGAUGUAAAAGACCUAGAAUAUCUUUUCUCACAUUUCUGCAAU
rfam:Heterocephalus glaber contig82317, whole genome shotgun sequence.